UUCAAGAUGGCUGCCAAAUGGCGAGAUAGUGGUUAGCGCCGUUUCUCAGCGGCUGUUUCAGAUUUAAUCAAGCGGCUCGUGAGGAAACGGAUUAAAAUCCACUGAACUGAUCGUUACCAUAAAAGUCUGAGACUGAAUUGAGAGUUUCUUAGUUACUAAACAAACCUGAGUAACGUUCACCUUUUAGCAGCUCUGCUUUCCUUGCUCAGAAAAACCUGGAACUCACCCGGAAUUAUCCCCUCUGGAUUGUCAAAGGGGUUUUCCAUAAACUUCCCAACAGCGGUGGCCUCAUCUCUUCCCAGCUUGUUCUCCGCGAUCAGGGUGUAGUUGCCAUUGUUGAUGUGGGUCGGCUUGUCAAGGAAGAGGCAACCGUGCUUCACCGAUCCAUCGCCCGAAUCCACGAUGGGUGGGACCGCUGGGUGCUGUCAUUCCUCAUUGUUCAACUUCCAGAUGCACUAAUGCAUCUGGAAGGAGAAAACAACAGAAGCUCCUGGGUCAAGCUGCAAGUCCAAUUUAAAAGUGCACAAGGUGAAGGAGUUCUUUAAGAGCAAGGCUGAAGAUUCUCGAGUACCUCGGUAAAGAAGUGAGAGUCGAGGGCUUCAGUUUGCCAUCUCACGCUGGGAGUGGGACUUCCUGUCACCUGACACGCGAAUGUGAGGUUGCCUCCUUCCAGAAUCUUAUCCUGUGAGGAGAUAAUAUUCACCUCAGGCAGACCUGAGAGUGCAGAAGAGACAGCAUGAGAGCCCGUAGCAAUAAACACAGGUUGCUGUUGUGAUGGUGCAACUAAGUAUAGAGUUGAACUCCUUUUUUUUUUUUUUUUUUAAAGCUCUUCAGAAAAGCAGCACAGGGCCAAAAUCUCUCGUAUGUUUCCUGGCAACAAGACGUUCCUGCUGUAUGUGAUUAGAGCAACAAUGU